UUUUUUUUUUUUUUUUUGUAGAGACAGGGUUUCGCCAUGUUGCCUAGGCUGGUCUCCAACCUGGUCUCCUGGGCUCAAGCGAUCCGCCCGCCUCGGCCUCCCACAGUGCUGGGAUUCCAGGCGUGAGCUACCGCGCCCGGCCUAUUUACUUUUCUUACUAAGCUGGGGAUCACCGUCGCCCUCGGCUUGGCAGGAAGGCGGGGGUAGGGGAGCGGUGGGAAAGGGGGGUGGGCGACGACUCUGAUAGAGGGAAAAGAGGAAGGGAAAGUUGGGGCUUACUGCAGGGCAAGCUCCUUAGGAGAAGGUGGGGAGGAGGAAGGAGGGAGGUCCAGGCCCUUCUUCCAUCCCACGUCCUCCACUUCCCAAGGUGCAAGAAGAAAAGAGGUACAGAACACCCAGAGGUGCCCUCGAUUCCGUCUUGCACUUGCCCUUCUCCCACCGUCCAGCAAUAAAGCGAGAGAAACAAGUGCAGGAAACUGGCCGGCAGUCAUGGGAGAAGCCAAAAAGACAGGAGUUCAGUGGCAUGACCAGGGCUCACUGCAACCUUGAUCUGGGCUCAAGUGAUCCUCCUACCUCAGCUUCCUGAGUAGCUAGGACCACAGGUGUGCACCAACCACACCCGACUAAUUUUUGUAGAGAUGAGAUCCCACUAUGUUACCCAGGCUGGUCUUGAACUCCUGGGCUCAGGUGAUCAUCCUGCCUUGGCUUCCCAAAGUACUGGGAUUAUAGGCUUGAGCCACCGUGCCUGGCCUGUGAUCAGAAUUCUCAUUUUUUUAGUCACUAAAAAUGCUGGGGGGCACUCCAUUCUCCAUUAUGUGAUUAGUUCACAUUGCAUGCUUGUAUCAAAACAUCAUAUAUACCCCACAAAUAUAUACAAAAAACUUUAAAAUUUUAAGUAUUAAUUGCUCAGGAAAAAAUUAAAAUGCUGGGGUGCUGAAAUCUCAAGGGCCCCAUUACAAAACUCCUUAGGAACCUCGCCCUCUCUCUGCUGUAAGGACUGGUUCCAGAAUGAGAGAAUUUAAAAGACAUUCCCCCCCCAAAAUGUUCAUAAUGUCACCCCGGAAACCUGCGAAUAUGUUAUAUUACAUGACCAGGGAGAAGUAAGGUUGCAGAUGGCAGUAAGGUUGCUAAUGGGCUGACCUUAAGAUAAGGAGAUGAUCCUGGAUUAUCUGGGUGGACCCAAUGUAAUCACAAGGGUCCUUAACUGUGGAAUAGUGAGGUGGCUGAGUCAGAGGCAGAGUGAUGCAAUGACUGAAAGACUUAACCAGCCAUCACCGGCUUUGAAUACGGAAGACGGUCAUGAGCCAGGGAAUGCAGGCAGGCUCUGGGAGCUGAAAAAAGCAAGAAAAUGGAUUCUCCCCUGGAGCCUCCAGAAGGGAUGCGGUCCUGCCAACCCCUUGUCAGUGAGCCAUUUCAGAUUUCUGACUUCCAGGACUGUAAGAAAAUAAACUUGUCUUGUUUUCA
rnacentral:lncRNA from 10 species